rnacentral:sRNA from 1 species
ACUCAUCCUCCUCUAAGAUUUCAGUUAGCCCAGAGGAGAAUUGGUAAGAAUCCAUCAUAGGUGACAUGGACUCAUCAUCACAGAAGAAUGGUCUUGGAGGCAUCUGCAGGCCAACAACGCCACCUUCAAGCAUCUCUAUGACCUCGCUCAUCGUCGGCCGAUCGUGAGACUUCAUCUGGAUGCAAUGUAGCCCGAUUAUGCACAGCUUCCUCUCAAGCUCAUGCAUGUUAGCAACAGUAGCAGCAGAUAUCUCACCAACACCCACCUGUUGCUCUAUUAGCCGGUCAUACACCCACGACGGGUAGUAGGCCUGACUUGAGUUCCCUGCAUGCAUGUCUGAGUUCCUUCUUCCUCCAGCCAUCUCCAGCAGCAGCAUUCCAAAGCUAUAGACAUCGGAUUUGCUUGAUAUAACGCCAAAGCUCCGAGAUAUCAUUUCAGGAGCAAUAUAACCUAUUGUUCCCCUUAAGGCGUUGAGCGGCACAAAACUGUUGUCCCUUGGGUACAGUUUGGCGAGGCCGAAAUCAGCAACCUUUGGAACAAAGUUGUCAUCAAGAAGGAUGUUGUGUGGCUUGAUGUCAAAGUGCAGUAUCUGCAUAUCGCAACCUUGAUGAAGAUAGUUGAUCCCCCUAGCAAUACCCAAAGCUAUCUCAUUGAGUUUGUCCCAUGAGAAACUUCUCUUGGAUGAGAAAAUGUACUUGUCUAGAGAUCCUCGUGGCAUGUACUCGUACACAAGUGCCCUCCUCAGUUCCUCUGAACAAAAACCAACAAGACGAACUACAUUGACGUGGUGGAUCCUACCAAUGGUGGAGACCUCACUGAUGAACUCUUCACCGUUGCAGUUGGCAUUUUCCAGCACCUUGACAGCCACAUUAACAUAACCUGGGAGAACACCUUUGUAUACCGAGCCGUAGCCUCCUUGGCCAAGCUUCUCACCGAAGUGACCUGUAAUUGCAGUGAGGUCAGUGUAGGCAUACCUUGUUGGGCCGAGAGUUAGUUGCAUCUGGAGGAACUUCUCUACUGCAUCAAUUGUUAUCUUAUUUCUCCAAUACUUGUGGGCAAGGAAGAUGAAUACUGCUAAUGGGGCCAAUACGAAUCUGCACAGUACUGCAUAAGAGCAAUUUACCAUAAAACAAUUAUGGAUUAACCUAGCAAGAAUGUAGUAAGACAAUACACUCUGCCAGGAAGCACGACCAGAAAUAGAAGUCAAUGAUAGCAAUAUUCGCAAUCCUUUCCUUGCUCCCUGUACCUGUCUGGCUACAAGACCAUGGGGUAAAGAAAUGAGUAAGACAUGGCUAAUCGUAUUUGAGGGCUUGUUUGGAUUGGAUUACAGCCAUCGUUAACCUUAGCAAAAUAUUAUGUGGGAGAGUGAAACUACAUUAUUUGACAGAUUAACUCACCGGAUUGACAGUGCCAGGCAUUCUUUGAAGUUCCACCCACUAACUGUGAAAGGAAAUCGAACGGCAAAUCCAGUCAUCAUUAGCUUUACAACAUCCUGAUAGCUUACAUUCUGCAGCGCCGACGUGCUGUUCAACUUGCUGCCACCCAAAGGAGUCGUGGCCAGGUACCCACAGGAAGGCUCAAGGUUCUGAAUAUAAGCAGAUUGUUGGCCAGUAAACACGUAAACGAAGGAUCUGCUGGUGCUCAGGCAAGCGACGGGCAUGUACAUCCAACUGCUGUUCCUUAUUUCCUGCGAACAAUUGACAAAGCUAGCCCAGGUAACCCCUACUGGAGGUGCCAAUUCAAUGAUGUGGUGUGACUUGGCCUGGAGCCUGGGAUCACGAAGAAGGGGGUUCCAGCGAGGAAGAAGGCAACUGCUACGUGAAUCCAAGAAGCUGGCAUCGACGACCCACAAGGUAGAAUCACCAUAGUUGAUGUCACUUACAGAGUAUGUCUCCUUGUCGAUCUGAAUUGUAGCCUUGUCGUCUGCACAAGUUAGCUCGUAGGAUUGAACACCGCACUCCGGCGGGUCACCUCGCCGGCGGAACGGGAACGACACGUCACUGAGAUGGCCGCAUGUGAACGGAGGGCAGUCAUGGCGCCGAUGAUGCCGCCGGCCACCUGCAGCAUCUGGAACGAGAACCCCAAGCACACACAAGACAUAAAUUACUCGCAUGACAGUAGAGCAAUGCAGAGCACCAUGAAUCGCAAU